GACCCUGUAGCUUAAUUGGAUAGAGCGUCAGCCUCCGGAGCUGAAGGUUGUUGGUUCGAGCCCAAUCAGGGUCGCCA
rnacentral:tRNA from 1 species